rnacentral:rRNA from 1 species
GAUGAACGCUGGCGGCGUGCCUAAUACAUGCAAGUCGAGCGAACGGACGAGAAGCUUGCUUUUCUGAUGUUGGCGGCGGACGGGUGAGUAACACGUGGAUAACCUACCUAUAAGACUGGGAUAACUUCGGGAAACCGGAGCUAAUACCGGAUAAUAUUUUGAACCGCAUGGUUCAAAAGUGAAAGACGGUCUUGCUGUCACUUAUAGAUGGAUCCGCGCUGCAUUAGCUAGUUGGUAAGGUAACGGCUUACCAAGGCAACGAUGCAUAGCCGACCUGAGAGGGUGAUCGGCCACACUGGAACUGUGACACGGUCCAGACUCCUACGGGAGGCAGCAGUAGGGAAUCUUCCGCAAUGGGCGAAAGCCUGACGGAGCAACGCCGCGUGAGUGAUGAAGGUCUUCGGAUCGGAAAACUCUGUUAUUAGGGAAGAACAUAUGUGUAAGUAACUGUGCACAUCUUGACGGUACCUAAUCAGAAAGCCACGGCUAACUACGUG